GGAGUGUCUCGAAUAUUUUCUACGGGUCGGCAUACCUGUCAAACUUAUCUUUUAUAUUUCAUUAUUUUCGAAAUAUAAUCAUGGAUCCAGCUGUCUUCCCCGAGGAAAUAUGGAUCAAAAUUCUUUUAUACUGUGAUGUGCCUGACAUUAUUGCCUUCGGGAGCACCUGUAAAUACCUCAGGAAAACAUCGGACACCGAUUACUUGUGGAAAAUCAAAUGGCUGCAGCUCAUAUCCAAAGUACAAUUCAAAUUUCCUGACAUGAAAUGUCUCCAGUUACUAAGCGUUAGUUUUAAGGCGAUGUGCUACCGACUUCACAUGGUAGUGACGCUGGGAGAGAGCGUUCCAUUCCCUAAGUGCUACCACUGCAGUGGUUACACGUGUCAAAGGAACUGCGUCGAAGGUUCGAGUUCAAAGGUGGUCAUCGAGAUCGGGAACAAAUACACGUGGGUCAUAACGCCUCAUUUCGGUCUAAGACGGCAUUUCUCUAUGUUUGGCAUACCGAAAUGCAACACGGCCAACGCAGCGGUGCAAACACAGGCACCAAGCAUAGCGAGCAGUAGCAGCAGGUUAAAAACUGAUGCAAAAUCAAUUGCCAAAAAGCUGAAACUGGUGAGGCUAUCCGAGCUAGCAACGGCAAAAAUUCCACGACCCAGUGGACCGUUUUGCGUAUUUUGCAAUCCGGUUAAAUUGUAUCGCGAGAAAAAACGCCUCGCAUCGCACCAGAAUGAUGUACAAAAAUACUCUAGUACAAAUCCUAUUUAUCAAAAAUUAUUGAAUGGAUAUUGUGCAGACACCAUUGAGGUUCUCGGAAUUCCUAACGUUGAUGUUGUUAGUCCGGCGGAAGCCCUCUUAAGCGAUGGAACUUUUUCGGUGCUAAAGACUUUCGUCGAUCACUUGUUUCACCAGAUGGGUUUAACGGCGACACUGAGAAAGCCAAACGCUGUACUUAUGUUCUGCGAACCACUCGCCAUGCAUCCAUUACUCAGAAAACAGCUACUUCAUUACUUAUUUCAAGAGGUCAAAGUUGCUAGGGUAUGUUUAGUUCCAAAACCCUUGGCUGCUUGCGCAAUGCUCGAUGUGGAGACUUGCGUUGUAGUAGAUAGCGGUGCUCUGAGUACAACAGUUGCUGUUGUCAUCGGAGGAAGGGUGAUGCCUGAUCGGUGGCGUCUAUUGCCUGUCGGUGGAUAUCACGUAGCCCAUCAUUUGAAACAAGCGAUGCAUUGGCAGCCAAAAGAAUACCAUCAGAUUCCUGUAUCUUAUUUGGACACUAUGGCUGUCAAGGAGAGAUGCAGAUUGAGCUACAACAUUGAAAAUGAAGAACGGAAAAGAGGGCCAACCAGAAGAGAACACAUCAAUCUUAGGGUUGAUAGUUAUGCAGAUUACAAACAGUUUUGGAGAGUAUCGCUGGGUUCUGAGCUUUACAUCGCACCUGAGAUGAUGUACGUUAGCCUUGGGCUCCCCGAAGUGAUCAAGGAAGUGACUAUGGGCCUUUCGGAAGAACUGACCCAGGAUUGUCUAUCCCAUAUUCUGUUGACCGGAGGUAACACUGAUUUGGCGGGAUUUGACCUCAGGCUAUCUAAAGAUUUGCGCGAAUUACUUCCGGAGCACAGUCCAAUUUUGGAGGUCAGAAGCUGCCCAGGAACUCACAGCUGGAAUGUGGCUAUGGGAUCAACUUACGUACCUUUGGCCGUACAUCCUGACAAAACGCCACCAGAAUAUGUGGAAGGGAAUCCAUUCUGGUUAUCGCGGGAAGAGUACGUCUUAUUUGGAUGUGAAUCGCUUGAAUAGUAACAAAGUAGCAAAGUGGGAGAUAGAUAUCAAUGACGAAUGAUUCAAGUCAUGAAUACUAGUACCUUAGCAAUGAUUAUGCAAAUUAGCAAACCAGUACAUAUGUCAAGACGUAAUAUCAGGAAGAGAAAUGUUACCAGUGUCAAGUAUAUUCUAUUCCUAUAUUGUCUAUCAACUCGCAAGCUUCCCCGCUCAUGAUACCUGCAGGAACUUCAGAAUUUCUUAUUUCACCAGAUUCUGAAUUCGAGGUUCAACUAAAGAUUGAUAAAAUUACAACUAGAUGAAAUUGAGAAUCUAAUCUGAUUGAAAUGUGGAAUGAAUGGUUUCACUGCCUUAUUUCACUAUGCUAAAUUUAUUAUUUAUGUAUCUCUGGCAAGUGUUCAACACGCUAUUACAUGACACAAGACUGGGAGAUGUUAUACAGAUGUCAAAAAUUUAGCAAUGAAAAUCUUUAAAACUUUUACUACUUGGUAAAGUUUUCUACGCGCAAUAAAUAGUUUCAUUUUAAUAUGUUACUGCAUCUCUUAUCUCUCCGCUAUAUUGUUUCUUUAAUUCACAUUGAAGAAUGAUAUGGAAAAAGGAAAGUAUGAUUAAAACAACUAGUAUCAUUUCAUUUUGCGCGUUAAAUGAAUUUUAAACUUGCAAUAGUAUUCCGGAGAAUGUCAUUUGUUAUUUCGUAAAUUUAUAUUGGAUUUUUUGCCAAAAAAAAAACAAACAAACAAAAAAGCAACACAAUACGUGUAUGUGUGUGUGUAUAUAUAUAUAUAUAUAUACAUAAAUGUAUGUAUGUAUGUAGAGAUUUUUCUAGUCACCAUAAACCUACCUAGAACAUUAAGAAGAGAGUAUACUUCCAAAAUAGUAAUAUAUACGUAUACAUAUGAUAUAUAUGUAUUGAGUAAUAAUUAGUAAUGAUAAUUAACUGAGAAAAAGUAAUAAUAUAUUAAACUCAUGAGUCUCUCGUUUAUAGAUUUAUACAAAGUAAGAACAAAGAAGUAAUUGUUAUAAUAAUUUAUACGUCAAGUUUCAUAAUAUUUAUUAAUAAUGACUAUACCUAAUAAUGCUGCUUAUGAUGAGGUAUAAAAUAUAAUUAAUAUUAGUUCACAGCAACGAGCUCAAUGAACAUAUUUUGUUACAUAUUAUAGCAGAUUUUUAUCACCUUACUAUAUAAUUCCAUCAAUACAAAAUAUUUUCGAUAAGAUAUUGUACAAUUUAAUGAUAAGUUUAUUGAAUUUUACUAGCACAAUGUUUUUUUUUUUUUUUUUUAUUAUUUACCAUUCUUUUUCUUCUCUUCAGGUAGUUCCUCAAACGACUAAAACCUUGAAGGAACUCACAGCACUAAAGCUGCAUUUCUUUUCUAUAAUGUGUAACAAGUUCAUCAUUCCAGUUAUAAUUUCUUCAAUAUCGAUAUCUUAAAAUAUUUCAUUACCGCAACGAACGAGAAUUCGUACUCGGUGAUUCAGUCUCUGUAUUUAUUUUAAGGCUGUACAUUUGGUAACUUGUUGUGAUUUCCUUCAUAGAUUAUUCAUAAUGUUAAUGUUCUCAACAUUCAAAUUUGUAUUAUAAUCAGUGUUCUGCUACAGAUAUGAACAAAGGAUAAUAUACCAACAUCAAUAUAGAAUCAGCUCUAUCUAUUUAAGAAAACACAGUUUCACACCUGAAUUCUAACAAUCUAAAAUGUCAGUGAAAAUGGAUGAAAAGAAGAAAAAUUGUUAAAUAAUUAUUCAUUUCCCAUCAGUUUUUACAAAAUAUUUAUGUAUAAUCCUGUAAUUAUUGUUGCUUGGCACAAGUUUUUAUCGGAUGGAAAAAUAAAUAAAUAAGUACAUGUGAGUGAAAGGGAUAUGUUAUGAAAUUACAUCGACGCAUUUAAGCUUGUUGUACGCUCAAGCUUUUAUAAUUUUAACAUUUAAUUUUGGUAAAUUAUGUAAAUAACAAGAGAAACACAUUUAUUCAGUAAUUUAUUUCAUCACACUUUACAUCAAGAAGUCUCGUUAUAUUAUAGAUAAAAUAAAAUACAACGGCAUGCGUACGAUACACAUAUACAUAUAUGUAUAUUUAUGUUUACUCAUACGCACAUGUAUAUGUUUAUGCAUAUAUAUACAUAUAUAUGUAUACGCACACAAUAUUUACACACGCGCACACAAAUGCCUGUGUUUCUAUCGAUGUAUACUAUUUACGACUGUAUAUUUUGUGAAUAAAUUUUUAUUUUUUUUAUUUUUUCUGUCCCAAGAAUAGAAAGCCAAUAAAAAAAAAUAGUUUUAUAAAACUUUUUUUUCUAAUCGUUCUAUAUUUUAUCAACUCUCGUUUCCGCUUUAUACUCUUAAGAAUUAUUUCUUCAUCGUUCAGUCCAAAAUAUUAGCGCUUUUUAAUUUGUUCAUACUAAUUGAAUAGUAGCAAUAGAAUUAAUGAAAAUUACAGAUUCGAAUUGUUACAAAUCUGACAAAUAAGUAAAUAAUGAAUUGCAUACUCGUUAGAUAAACUGUAAAAACCUUUGGCUAAAUGUGGUAAUAAUUAUUCAUAUCAUUUGAAAAGAAACAUUAUUAUACAUGGUAAUAAUAGAAGAUAUAUUUUUUACUCUAUGAUCUGUGACGUGCAGGUUUAUGACCCAUGAUAAUCACUCUUGCAAUUUAAAUUUACUCCGAUGAUAAAAAAUACGACCGGAAUACAAGAGCGAGGCAAAAGCCUGUUGGAGAUCAUAAAGGCAAGGUACGUACAUCGUGAUCGACAAAUGACUUUAUGCAAAUCACUCAAUUAGUACAAUCUUAUCCUAUGUUACUAACAGUUAAUCGUUUAUUUUACUUACUUUAAUUUUUUUUUUUUUGGUAUCAGGUCAAACCACCCAAGCCACUGAACGUCAAUCUUUGCUAAACAUGCCGUAUCGAUAGACCCGUGUGUUUAUAAACUGUUACACUUGAUCGCUAUGACUUGAGGCCAUAGUUGCAUUUUAAAAAUUUGCAACGGAACGAAAAAACUACAUGCGAAUCUCCGCGAAAAUGUAUUAUUUUUCUUAAUUUACUUGGGUAUUUCAAGUUCGAUAAAAUUAAUGAAAAUAAUGGACUCAAUGGAUAUACAUAAAUAUAAGUAUUACGUUUUAAUUUGAUAGAAAAUGUGAACGGUUAAGAAUCUGUACAAAAAUGACGUUUCAAAGAUUCUGUCAUAUUUAAAUUCAAGAAGCAUGUAUGCUAGAACUAGAAAUUUGAAGUACAAACAACGUAUUUUAUGACAAGUUCGCUAUUAGAAAUGUAUGUAUCAAAAAAUCUAACAUGGGAAAGUUUGGUUCUCUCGAAUAAGUAAUAAAUAAAUACUUUAAGAUAUAUUUGUCUUAUUUUGGCAUUGUCAUGUCUCAGGAUGCUUUGUUUUCGUUUUAAUACGAAUUUCAAUUAAUCGCACUUUUGCAAGAACUUUCGAGUACGAUGAAGUAAUUAAACGGACGAUGAUUUACAUGUAACAUGUUUGGACGUGGACUUUGGAGUAUUAAAUUUUAUUCUAUUUCCAACAGCUAUUAAAUGUAUGAACGUAUGUAUGUUCGUGUAUAUUACAAAUUAGAAUAUAUAAAAUAUACCCUAAGUUUUGAAGAAUAUUUUGUUUUAAUUUCUACCUGCAUAUUUGUGAUGCAAAUUUGGCUCACAAUUGUUUUUGUAAAAUCUUAUAUAUUAUAUAUGUAAUAGCGUUUCAAAACUAUUGAAAAUCGCAGUGGUAUCAAACAACGACUAUUUAUUCUUGUUAGUAAAACUUUAUGAAUUUAUAUCGAUACUUUGACUAAUUAUACUCUGACUUUUUAACAAUAAUCACUGUAAAAUAGUACGUGUAUGGGAUAACUUCUGU
rnacentral:misc_RNA from 1 species